AGCGGACAGAUUGGCAGGACCCCUGGGCUGUCUGGAAGAACAGAGACGCUUCAACUGCCCUAUUCGUGAAGACUUUGCAGAUGGUAGCGUGUGGAGAGGUUGUGGCUGGGCGGAACAGAACGAUGAAGUAUCUUGUUUGAGAAAUGCGCAUAGGGUGGAGACGACGAGCAACGCGACGGUGGCGAGUAAUGGAAGAGGCCGUGACCUUGAGUCGAGCGUUUUGAAAGAAGAAAGGUAAAGAGGAAGGCAGUAAGAAGGAAGAAGAGAAGGAGGUUUCUGAUAAAACCAAGGAUCAAGAUAAGGAUGAUGAUGCCAUGUCUGUAGAUUAAGUGGUGUCCAUGGAUAUGUUUGCCUUAAAUUUUAUAUAUAGUUUGAUCAUUGGAUACUUAUGCAUAGAUUUGUAAAGGGAGUUACGACCUCAAUGUGGAAUUGCAUGUCAAAGGUAUUCGUGUAAUAUUUAUCAGUUAGGAUAUAGUAAUGAUAUGUGCCAUUAUUAUAGGAGUGUACUGUCAGCAUCCCAUUUUCAAUAUUGUAUUAGUUGAUUUGUAAUGUACAAGUUGGGAUUUUUGAAUGUAGUUUUGAUAAGUCUGAAACAUCAGACUAAUAGAACUCAUUAAAUAAUAUACACAAA